UACGUAGGGUGCAAGCGUUAAUCGGAAUUACUGGGCGUAAAGCGUGCGCAGGCGGUCCGUUAAGACAGAUGUGAAAUCCCCGGGCUUAACCUGGGAACUGCAUUUGUGACUGGCGGGCUAGAGUAUGGCAGAGGAGGGUAGAAUUCCACGUGUAGCAGUGAAAUGCGUAGAGAUGUGGAGGAAUACCGAUGGCGAAGGCAGCCCCCUGGGCCAAUACUGACGCCUCAUGCACGAAAGCGUGGGGAGCAAACAGGAAUUGAGAAACCCCGGUAACGGUC
rnacentral:rRNA from 1 species